CCUAUUUUUUCCUAUUUUGGUCAAUGAAUGUUGUUUGGACCAUAUUAUUUUUUAUAGAGCUCAUAGUAUUUAUUCUUUUCAUAUUAGUUUCGAAGAGAGUAUGGAAGAAAACUCUGGGAAGCAAAUUUGCCAUUACUUUAUUCGAUCAUCUGCCCGAAAUAAUUUUUUUUCCCAGAACGAAGGGAUCACUUCUGUUGAAACUGCUGAUGUUGGUUAGUAAUUGUACUCUAUUGAUUAUGUGGACUCAUUUAUAUGGUGUUUAUGUUUGAAUUAUAUGUAUGAGGUUUGGUCAUAUGAAAUACAUACUACAUUUUUUUGCUAUAGACUUCCAUCUAAUGUUAAUGUUUAUUGUUCUUAUAAAGUGAAUGAUUCAGGGGGUUUAAAUGGAAUAGAAUUGCAUUCUAAAUGGCAACGAAAUAUUACUAAUGUAAUAGAAGACAAGUACGACGAUGGCGGUAACAAAAAAAGGGGCCAGAUCUGAAGAAUGUGUGCAAUUAAAUGUGGAAUGGAAAUGUGAUAGCGUUUUAAUGGUUGAAGGGUUCAAUCGUGAUGAACGUUGUGACAAAAAGCCUGCUGUAAAAGCGAAAGGGAUGGUUGCUUUAGCUAGGCAUCUUUGGGAGUAGCAGCAACAUUACUUCCUGGAGACCGUUAUUGAGGAAACAGUGGACUCCAGCAACAUCGAUAGGCGGAUCAAAAUUUUUGCUUGAAGGAAACCGUAUCCAAUACUUAGAUAUAGAUCCCAUUUCAUUUAAAUUCUUUCCCUACAACUAAAUGCAAAAAGAAGUCUAUUUAGUUCAUUACUUUUUUACGAUAACAUAUUCUUCAAUUUAAUUCUACUAUUAAUCAUACAAUUUUUUUGCUUGUAGGAAUCAAAGUUCGUAAAUGUAUAUGAUAGGAUCCUUUUUUGUGUGAUUUGUUGUUAUAUAUGGUAGAGGACAUGAUGUUCAAGCAUGAUCUUGAUGUGUUUAAACACUAGAAUGAUUGACCUUACUGGAUCCUUAUGAUAUGUAUCUUUGCUGAUUGUAUGUCGUACAGAUGAUGGAAAUCCAAAAUCUAUGCACACUCAGUAUGGCCUUUUUAAUCAACCUGAAUCCCAUACCAACCAAAGCAUUCUUUGUCCAUUCACCUACGUUUACAGCUUAUCUCUGCACAUGCAUGUGUGUAUGUUUGUGCGCACGCACACACACACACAUAUAUAUAUAUGAAUUAUUUACAUGAAAAAAGUUUGCUUUAUGUAUUAUAAAAAUAAACAUUAAUAAUUAUUGUCCUUUAUUUCUUUUAUCUAUUGUACAGGUGAAAACAUUAAUGAUUAUUGUC